AGUAAGGAAAAGGCGUGGGUUUUGGAGGUGGGCACUUCACCCCGAACUUUUAUUCUGCUACACCCUCAAGCAAGGGAUCACAUAUCUGAUCCUGCCUCACCCUCAGGUAAGAAGGAAAUAGGGGGAGAGGCUCAGCUAAGCCUCCCAACUUCUUCCUUCUCCCUCAGUCUGUAAGUACACUGUUCACGACCAGUGUGCCAUGAAAGCCCUGCCUUGUGAAGUCAGCACCUAUGCCAAGUCUCGGAAGGACAUUGGUGUCCAAUCACAUGUGUGGGUGCGAGGAGGCUGUGAGUCCGGGCGCUGCGACCGCUGUCAGAAAAAGAUCCGGAUCUACCACAGUCUGACCGGGCUGCAUUGUGUAUGGUGCCACCUAGAGGUCAGUUUGGGAGCCAUCCCUUCUGGGUGCGUCUUACCCCGCAGAGCUGCCUUCUCCACGGGCCUCCGGCCACACCU
rnacentral:lncRNA from 1 species